rnacentral:rRNA from 1 species
CACGUAGGGCGCAAGCGUUGUCCGGAAUUAUUGGGCGUAAAGAGCUCGUAGGCGGCUUGUCGCGUCAACUGUGAAAACCCGUGGCUCAACCAUGUGGUCUGCAGUCGAUACGGGCAGGCUAGAAUUCGGUAGGGGAGACUGGAAUUCCUGGUGUAGCGGUGAAAUGCGCAGAUAUCAGGAGGAACACCAGUGGCGAAGGCGGCUCACUGGCCCGAUACUGACGCUGAGGCGCGAAAGCGUGGGGAGCAAACAGG